UUUUUUUUAUUUGUUUGUUUCUUCUAUUUGGUGAAUUGGUUGAGCUGACUUGGGUUUUUUCCUUCUUUGUCUGUGCAGUGAUAAGAGGCUUUGAAGAAUUUGAAUGGAGCACAACCCCACUGUCUGUGUCCUGGCAUCGUCGCGGCAUCUCUGUUGUCUACAUUCCUGGAGGUUCGUGGGCUGCCGCCGCUGCCUCCUCCUCGACCCUCAUUAGGAAGAGCAUGAGGUGCCGCCAAACUGCGACAGACGGCGAGCAUGAGCCACCAGCACACCACACCAUAGGGUAUAUUGUUUUCACAAUUUUAUUUAGCUUUACCACAAGUAAAAACUGGAUAUACAAAAGCAUUGUAAUGUAAAAUUUUAGUCUAGAGAAGCAGUUUUUCUUACAUGUACUGUCAGCUCCUAUUUUUAUGUCCAGUUAAUUAAUCAUCAACAUUAAACACUAAUUAUAUUUUUCAUGGGAUCCUUCCAGUUGACCAAUGUAUGCAUGCUUAAAA